rnacentral:rRNA from 1 species
GACGAACUGUGCAAACGUUAUUCGGAAUCACUGGGCUUGAAGAGUGCGUAGGCGGUUUUGUAAGUAGGGUGUGAAAGCCCCCGGCUCAACCGGGGAAUUGCGCCCUAAACUGCAAGGCUGGAGUGAGGUAGGGGUGUGUGGAACUUCCAGUGGAGCGGUGAAAUGUGUUGAUAUUGGAAGGAACGCCGGUGGCGAAAGCGACACGCUGGACCUUGUCUGACGCUGAGGCACGAAAGCCAGGGGAGCAAACGGG